rnacentral:rRNA from 1 species
GACGAACGCUGGCGGCGUGCUUAACACAUGCAAGUCGAACGGAAAGGCCCUGCUUUUGUGGGGUGCUCGAGUGGCGAACGGGUGAGUAACACGUGAGUAACCUGCCCUUGACUUUGGGAUAACUUCAGGAAACUGGGGCUAAUACCGGAUAGGAGCUCCUGCUGCAUGGUGGGGGUUGGAAAGUUUCGGCGGUUGGGGAUGGACUCGCGGCUUAUCAGCUUGUUGGUGGGGUAGUGGCUUACCAAGGCUUUGACGGGUAGCCGGCCUGAGAGGGUGACCGGCCAAAUGGGGACUGAGAAACGGCCCAGACUCCUAGGGGGGGCAGCAGGGGGGAAUAUUGCACAAGGGGCGGAAGCCUGAUGCAGAAACGCCGGGGGGGGGAUGGGGGCCUUGGGGUUGUAAACCGCUUUCGCCGGUGACGAAGCGUGGGUGACGGUAAUGGGUAAAGAAGCACCGGCUAACUACGU